rnacentral:rRNA from 2 species
AGUGACGAUAGCCUAGGAGAUACACCUGUACCCAUGCCGAACACAGAAGUUAAGCCCUAGAACGCCGGAAGUAGUUGGGGGUUGCCCCC